ACUCAAAGGAAUUGACGGGGACCCGCACAAGCGGUGGAACAUGUGGUUUAAUUCGAUGCAAAACGAAGAACCUUACCGAGGCUUGACAUCCUGGGAAUUUUCUGGAAACAGAGAAGUGCCUUCGGGAGCCCAGUGACAGGUGCUGCAUGGCUGUCGUCAGCUCGUGUCGUGAGAUGUUCGGUUAAGUCCGUCAACGAGCGCAACCCUCAUCCUGUGUUGUAUUUUUCACAGGAAACUGCCUUGGUCAACAGGGAGGAAGGUGGGGAUGACGUCAAGUCAGCAUGGCCCUUACGCCUCGGGCUACACACAUGUUACAAUGGCCGGUACAAUGGGCUGCGAACCCGCGAGGGGAAGCUAAUCCUAUCAAAACCGGUCCCAGUUCGGAUUGAAGGCUGCAACUCGCCUUCAUGAAGUCGGAAUCGCUAGUAACCGUAGGUCAGCUAUACUACGGUGAAUACGUUCCCGGGUCUUGUACACACCGCCCGU
rnacentral:rRNA from 1 species